rnacentral:rRNA from 1 species
CCUACGGGAGGCAGCAGUGGGGAAUAUUGCGCAAUGGGGGAAACCCUGAUGCAGCGACGCCGCGUGAGUGAUGAAGUUUCUCGGUACGUAAAGCUCUGUCAUCAGGGAAGAAAAUGACGGUACGUAACUAAGAAGCCCCUGCGAACUACUGGCCAGCAGCCGCGGGAAUACUUAGUGGGCAAGCGUUAUCCGGAUUGACUGUGUGUAACGGGAGCGUAGACGGCAGUACAUGUCUGGUGUGAAAGCCCGCGGCUUAACCCCGGAACUGCUUUGGAAACUGGGAGGCGGGAGUGCAGGAGAGGUAAGCGGAAUUCCAAGUGUAGCGGUGAAAUGCGCAGAGAUUAGGAGGAACACCGGUGGCGAAGGCGGCUUACUGGACUGUAACUGACGUUGAGGUGCGAAAGCGUGGGGAGCAAACAGGAUUAGAUACCCGAGUAGUC